rnacentral:rRNA from 1 species
CACGUAGGGUGCAAGCGUUGUCCGGAAUUAUUGAGCGUAAAGGGCUCGUAGGCGGUCCGUCGCGUCGGGUGUGAAAACUCGGGGCUCAACCCCGAGCCUGCUUUCGAUACGGGCGGACUAGAGGUAGGUAGGGGAGAACGGAAUUCCUGGUGUAGCGGUGAAAUGCGCAGAUAUCAGGAGGAACACCGAUGGCGAAGGCAGGUCUCUGGGACGUGACUGACGCUGAGGCGCGAAAGCCAGGGGAGCAAACGGG